rnacentral:rRNA from 1 species
CGUGUAGGCGGUCUGGUAAGUCGGUCGUGAAAUCCCUAAGCUUAACUUAGGAACUGCGUCCGAAACUGUUAGACUCGAGUAUCGGAGGGGAUGGCGGAAUUCCUGGUGUAGAGGUGAAAUUCGUAGAUAUCAGGAGGAACACCUGUGGCGAAGGCGGCCAUCUGGAAGAUUACUGACGCUGAGACGCGAAAGCGUGGGGAGCAAACA